GAUGAACGCUAGCGACAGGCCUAACACAUGCAAGUCGAGGGGCAGCACGAAGUAAGCUUGCUUACUUUGGUGGCGACCGGCGCACGGGUGCGUAACAGGUGUGCAAUCUGUCCAUAAUCGGGGAAUAGCCCAGCGAAAGUUGGAUUAAUGCUCCAUGUGAGUUUUAGAGGCAUCUCUUUAAUUUGAAACGUAAGGAUUAUGGGUGAGCACGCUUCUGAUUAGGUAGUUGGUGAGGUAACGGCGCACCAAGCCGACGAUCAGUAGGGGUUCUGAGAGGAAGGUCCCCCACAUUGGAACUGAGACACGGUCCAAACUCCUACGGGAGGCAGCAGUGAGGAAUAUUGGUCAAUGGGCGAAAGCCUGAACCAGCCAAGUCGCGUGAAGGAUGAAGGUUCUAUGGAUUGUAAACUUCUUUUGUCUGAGGGUAAAAAAGCGGACGUGUCCGUUCUUGCAAGUAUCAGACGAAUAAGCAUCGGCUAACUCCGUGCCAGCCGCCGCAGUAAGAC
rnacentral:rRNA from 1 species